CCAGAGACUAGAGUCUAAUCUUGACAAGCACCGUUGUCUUGGUUUGCUAGAGUUCCCUCAGACUGAACACUGCUCCUAUUCACUGACUGGCUCCUUCCCAUAGGCCGCUCAGCCACAUGGGUAGUGACAAGU